rnacentral:rRNA from 1 species
AUUGAACGCUGGCGGCAGGCCUAACACAUGCAAGUCGGACGGUAGCACAGAGAGCUUGCUCUUGGGUGACGAGUGGCGGACGGGUGAGUAAUGUCUGGGGAUCUGCCCGAUAGAGGGGGGUAACCACUGGAAACGGUGGCUAAUACCGCAUAACGUCGCAAGACCAAAGAGGGGGACCUUCGGGCCUCUCACUAUCGGAUGAACCCAGAUGGGAUUAGCUAGUAGGCGGGGUAAUGGCCCACCUAGGCGACGAUCCCGAGCUGGUCUGGGAGGAUGCCCAGCCACACUGGAACUGAGACACGGUCCAGACUCCUACGGGAGGCAGCAGUGGGGAAUAUUGCACAAUGGGCGCAAGCCUGAUGCAGCCAUGCCGCGUGUAUGAAGAAGGCCUUCGGGUUGUAAAGUACUUUCAGCGGGGAGGAAGGCGGUGAGGUUAAUAACCUUGCCGAUUGACGUUACCCGCAGAAGAAGCACCGGCUAACUCCGUGCCAGCCGCCGCGGUAA